AUUGACUAUACCCUUCCAGCAGCCAGGAGACACAGGCACUUUUGUAUAUGUGACUCACGUAGGUCAGGAUUCUAGAGCAAAAUGCAAGGUAGAAAAGGAGGAAAGUAUCUUACGGGACAAAGGCAGAAAUUCAGCACAGAGGGGAAAAUCUGUGAUGUCCUGGACAUCGGCCCCAAAGCCAUGCCCUACUUUUCCUCUCCAGAGCUCCAUUUCAACUCAGUCCCUAAUCAACUGGCAAGACAACAAGAGCUGCUGCUGCAGAUCCAACAAGUUCCAUCUACUUCAGAAAAGAUUUCGAAGCUGGAAUGUGGCUGGGAUUUGGCAAAAGCAGUGAAAAGGGAUCUAAUCUGGGUACGAGUGUCUGCGUUCCUGACACCAAGACCCCUGAAAUCAGGCAAACUCUCUAACCCCAUCCCCAUACACCCUGCCUUUUCUUGCCUUGGAUCUUCUGCCACAAUCAGGUACAAGGUCUCACGAAGGCUAGAAAGCCACUUCAUGUUCUGUGAACUCCUCUCAGUUUCCCAUGUGCUUAAUUUUGUCAAGCAGGUAACGGUAAAGUAUGCAGCCCAGAGUUCAUCUAUUACUAAGGAUCAAAAAUGUGGCAAAUGGUCUACCAACUAGAUGCCCAUCCAAAAGUUAAAAAUAUCAACCAAGCAUAAGGGUAGCACAGUGGAGGUUAGAAAAAAAUGCAACUUGGGCCCAACUCCUCGUUCGGCCAUGGAGAGCUGCAUAGCUUGGGAAAAUCAGUCUUGUUAUCUCAAGAGAGGGACCAGCACGCCCACAUUAGGACAGUGAAAUGAGAUGAAGCGAGCCUGUUUCCCAGACUUAGAGUAUAUCCAAAGACUGUCAUUCUUAAAGUCAUCGGUGUAUUGACACUAAGCAUCCAGCCUUGAAAAUACCUUGCCUCAGCUCAGACUUUAUUUUUUUUAUUUUAUUGCUCUGUGAUUAGGGACAAGCUUAUCACACUCUCUGUACCUUGGUUUUCUGAACUAUAAAACGGUGUAAUAGCAAUACCACAUAGGAUUGCUGAGAAGAUGGAAUGCAGUAAUAAAAUGAUUACCACAAUGAUGAUAAUGAUGAUU
rnacentral:lncRNA from 12 species